UAGGCUCCAGCAGCCUUGCAAUCUCCCAUACGUCGCACUUUAAUUUCUAUGGAUGAUGUGUUAUUAUACUCUGGUUUGGGGAAAGGAAGCUGGCAGGUUUUAUGAGAGGCAGAGCAAGACUGAGGUAGGGAUUGUCCUGCGUCUUUCUACCAUUCCGUGCUGUGAGGCAAGGUAGGCAAACUGUGGUCCUGUUUUUAUAAAUGGUGUUUUAGUGGAAUGCAGCCACAUCCAUUGGCUCAUGGAUUGUCUAGGGAAGCUUCGCAAUGGAGUGACAAGUCCUGUAGCUGCAGCAAGGAACAUGUACCCCACAGAGACUAAAAUGCUUCCUUGCUGGCCCUUCAUGGAAAAAUACUGUCGAUCUCUGCUGUGAAUUAUUGCCAUAUUUCCCCAGAAUACACAGUGAGGAAUGAGCAUGGGUCCUACUUUUUAGUAACACAAAUUCUAGUUGAAAAGAUCAACAGCUCCAUAAGUCGCUCUGCAACUGGUGUGUUCUAGCUCAGCAGUUUGGGUUUUGAAAUAAGGGACCAUGAUUUUUCAAGUAAAUAACUUGAGCUGCAUAUGGCUUUGGCAAGAAUACCAUUUUCCCACCCUAGGAUUCCCCCUCCUUCCAUGAGAACUGAGGGCCCCUUGGGCCCCCGCAGUCCACUCUGAGACACAGCUGCUCAGCUGGAAGCAAACUGGCUGCCUUGCAGGCUGCAUGCUCCAUGGCCAAUGGCACUGUUCGCGUCUGUGAUGUCACUGCUGAGACACAGUUGCCCUGUGCAGAAUGUGAGGGGAGACAGUAUUCCAUGACCUGAGACAUCCUAUCCAGGCACCUCUCCUUGUCAGCUGAGAGCUGUUUUGAGUGAGCAUCGUCCCUUGUGCUGGUCGUCUGGAUUCUUGGGACUCCUGGAGGACAUGAGAGCAGGACUGGCCUCAGGCCUGGGCAUCGUCAGUGUGGGUGUCGUCUCCUCCCCACCCUGCACCUGUGAGGAGUGGCACGGCAUCAUUCUGGAUUCCUCUGUGACAAUGGAUUGCUUUGAAUACCUUGAUUUCCAUUUUUGAAGACUUUGACACAGAAGGUUAGCCCUGCUCUCUAGAAUCUCAAGUCAAUAAGCGGUUUCUGUGCAUUCUUCGAUCUAGUGUAACUCAAGGGCCUCCCAGCCAAUUCAUGAUAGCGUGCCUGUGGUCCAGCCAUUUGACGGGAGCAGUUUCCUGCUGCUCAGACACUGUGCCUGCUGGGAACGAAACGUGAUGCUGGAUGUGCUCUUGUUGCUCUCGCCUUUAGGUGCAGACACCACACUUGUGAGUUAACCUUGAAGAGAGCUGAGAUGGUACCAACUGAGAAGCUUCUUCUAUUUCCCUUCUUGUUUGGACUCAAAACUGGGAGAGCUCCCCCAAACCUCCAAUUCCUCCCCACACCUCAGAGCAGAGAUCCGUGGAUGAUGGCAUCGCUUUUCAAACACGCAGAGCUUACCACGAGCGCAGGGGAUACUGCUUCUGAGAGUGGGGAUAUUGCUUCUCACUGUCACGUAUAUCGCACAUGACUGUUUUUAGCCAUGAGUGACGAGCAGUACACACUGACUUCAAUUCUUCUUACACAUUUUUCUGUGGCUGUAGUGCUCUUAGCAAAAUAUUCCCUGGCAGACCAGGUCAUUGCAGGGAGUGGGGUAUGAUCCAGGACUGACUGGGGUGUGUCACCUGGCAGCAAACCCUGGAAGCCCUCCUGUGACCAGCACGGACACCAACAGGAAAUCAACAGACUGAGAAACAUUUACUCCAAUGAGGCUGGCAUCUUUGUUUUCCUUCUAGUCCUCAAGUCUCUGUUAAGAUUUUUAAAAAAGAUUUAUUUAUUCAAGAGGUAGAGUUACAGACAGAGGGAGAGACGAAGUGAAAGGUUGUCAUCCACUGGUUCACUCCCCAAAUGGCUGCAACAGCCAUAGCUAGGCUGAUCCAAAGCCAGGAGCCAGGAGCUUCUUCCACAUCUCCCAUGUGGGUGCAGGGGCCCAAGCACUUGGGCCAUCUUCCACUGCUUCCCAGGCCACAGCAGAGAGCUGGAUUGGAAGAGGAGCAGCUGAGACACGAGAUCGAGAUCACUGCAGGUGGCAGCUUUAGCUGCUGUGCCAGAGCGCUGGCCCUCAGUUGUAUAACAAUUCCCAUGAUGGAAUCCAUCAAUACAGAAGAAUAGCUGGGGUCCAAGCUCUUGGGCUAAAAGGCCAAGAGGAAUUUCCACAGUAAACCAGAGGCUGGAUGCUCUAUGUCAAUUUUUCUAGGAGUGCUGUGAGGACCAGUGUUAGGAUGGAAGUGAAUUCCUCACUCCUCAACACCAAUCCAAAUUUUGCACUCAUUUGUGGCUCUUUCCCUUCUCAGGGGAUCACUGCAGUAGGGGGUACCCUCUGGGCCCCGAGAGUACCUUCCUGGUGGAGGGCAGUGAGAGGCUGGAGGAGAGGGCUACUGCUCAGAGAGUUUGACAUGGCAGAGAGUGAGUUUCAAUCCCGAACUGAUUGAGUAAUCUUUACCCGUGGAAAGUCCAUUUUGGACUGGGAGGGGCCAUCAGCAUCUCUGCAUAGGAGGGCCAGAGAGAUUGUGCUGCUGGGGAGGAGUCGGGAAAUGGGAAACUCAACCUGCCUGGAGCUUGCAGUGUUGCCACUGAAGGGGCAAGGUGAGGACCUGCUGGACGUGCGUGUAAAUGCAGCUCCAAAGCCGAGGCGGCGGGGCAAGCGUCACUAGAGCUUCCUUCUUGGGAUACACAUUCCUACAAACCUUCGAGUGUGCCAUCCAGCCCACACCGGACAAGGACAUUGAGCAGAAGUGUUGUCUGCUACUCCCUGGUGGGAGCACUUAGGGGCUGCACCCCAGCUCUCCCUGCCCCCUUCGGCUAUGGUAAACCCUGAAGACUGGGAGAAUAUGGUGAUGUCAUAAGAUGAUGGCAGUUUCAUCACCCCAGGGUUGUAGGCGGAUCCAUGUUGGACACACAUCACAGCAGGAAACAAGACAUUGUUAUUUUAAGUCACUAGAAUUUAGGUUUUGUUGUUACUAUGGUUGGUAUAUUCUACUGGUAAAGGUGUUUAGUUACAGAAGACAGAACUCUGUCCUUGUACACCUAGUUUGAUGUUUGUGAAUUUUAAACCUGCUAUACAACUAUUUAACUUUGUUGAAGUCAACUGCACCUGCUCAGCAGGUGUGGCUGCUCAGGCCUGUUACUGUGGAAGAAGCACAUGUCUCAGAGUGGGCUGCAAACCUGCUGUUCCUCCCUGGGCUGCACACCACGUGAGAGCCCUGCAGGCUUUGGAGAGGGAAGUCACCCUUUACGAGAAAUCCCAGACACAAACAAGUGACUUCAUCUGGAGUGCAACCGAAGAAACACAAGACGCUUUCCAUGCUGAAGCGUGAAACAGGCCUCAGCCUGCUCUCGUGCCCUGGCAAGGUCACUAAGAGAAGAAUAAACCAGUGCACAGGUGGGGUAUGCAGUCGCCCACUGGGAGGCACAGAGGAUGCGGCGACGAAUCUCAGUUUUGUUUCCGUUUCCUGCCCUCGACCAAGAUUGCAGAAUCUGAUUCUGAGACCCGCGAGGGGCCGACGGGCAGAGAGACGGCCAUCCACACACCGAUGCACCUCAGCGUGGACCGUGGAAGCAACGAGAACAGGACCGAGGCAGCCAGGUACAGGGCAGAGGACAGGCGCGCUGGCUCUGCAGAAUCCGUUCAGAGCGCAGUCAGACCCCUGGAGCGCUUCCAGGGUCGUGCAGGUCGUGCAGGUCAGGGCCAGCUGGCGUAUCACAGGGACCAGGCCGGGCCGUGACAGGUCGCACAGCACCGGUCCCAUCUGAAAGAGGCCACUCGGAAUCAGCUGCACCCGGGGUGGUCACGGUCACGCGGUCCAGUGUGGUCGCUUUCCGAUUUUGCAGGAGUAGCUGGAGUCUAAUGCGUGUGCCCAGGAGCCACUGGGCAGGCGGGGCACAAGCGGACCUCAGACAAGCAGGCAGCUCACCCUGUGACCCUGCAACGCUGGUCCUCUCCGUUCAUAGGGUGAUGUCCUCGGAUGCCCUUGGGCGGGACGUCCUCUGAGGAACCGAUCAAGCUCAGGGCAGGAAGCUCCUACACUGCCUCGGGGAGGCGCGGUGUGGGCCGGGUUCCGCUCUGAGGAGGUGACACUGUGCUGUGCUCCUGGGCAGUGUGAAGGCGCGGGCCAUGGCGUCUCCUGGCCAAGCCGAGUGAGGCACUCUUCAGUCAUGCUUACGCGACGCUGUUCCGGGUCUGCUCACCAAGCUGGUCCUACCUUUCGGCAUGUAUUCUGGAUGUUUGGUAUCCGAACUUGAACUCACCGAGGACCCCUUUGUGGAGCCUUAUCCUGUCUUUGAUCCUCAAAGAGCUCGUCACCAGCUGAGACCCCGUCUCCUGGGCAGUGUUGAGCUGACGGCUGCAGCUCACGCUCACAUCUCUGCCCAGUGUGCUGUUAUUUCCUUCUGAACAAGGGCUCGGGAACACCCAGCCUCCGUGGUUACACCUGCAGGUGCCUGGACUUCCGUGGGCACCAUCGCCCGAGGAUCCCUGACUGUGUUCACCAGAUUCUGAGCCCGUUGUAGUGCAGCCUUGCCAUUCAGACGGUGGGGAGGCAGCAGUGGGGAUGAGACCACCGUGCGGCGGGGAGAUGGGGGCCCCGAGCAGAGCUGUCAGCCCCUCUGAGAGCUGCCCGGCCCAGGAGAGGGUUCCCGGGCUGGGGGGAGCCAGAGUGACGGGGAGAGGCGGAGGCGCGUGCAGGGUUGGCCGUGUGUGCUUUGCCUUUGACUGUGGACGCGCGUUCCCCAGCCUGCACCUUGCUGGCCACAGCAGGUGCCCUGUGACAAAGGGCAGCGCUCCGUGCCCAGAACCCCCCCUUUCCUCCUCUGGGACCCAGGUUCAAUGCCGACGUCACAGAGGUGAGCGGAGCCGCCCAGGCCGACGGCUUCAGGGCCUCUGCUCGCCUAAGAGCAGCUGAAUCCUUCUGAGCCCUGAGCGUCCCGCUGGGUUUGACGGAUCUGUUCAUCCAUGGCACGGAAGCCGAGGACGUGAACCAGAGGAGCUGCAGGUGGUGUGGGCACUCGGUGGCCCCCGAGCUCCCGGUGGUGCAGACGGAACCAGCUGUGCAUUCCGAUGGCAGACGGAACCAGCUGUGCAUUCUGAUGGCUCCCAGCGGGGGACGCGGCCUCACGGCCCUGUGCGCUUGCGCUGUGGGGACCUGGAGCUGCCCCUCGGCUGCUUCUGAAGCGUGACGCUGGGCGAGGGCCGCUCGUGCGAUGCUACGUCCUGCUCACAGGUUGUUGAAGUAGCCCGGCCUCCAUGUCUCAGCAACAAGGGCGCACAGUGGUGUUGCAGGGAGCCACGCGCCCUGACGCCCGUGCCUGCCGCCUUCUCGAGAGCUCAGUGAGAUGGAGCUGUGGCAGUCGCUCGGAGCUGGAAGCCGUGGUUCCCAGGCUCCUGUUCCGCGGUUGGCCCUGAGUGUGCAGAGAUGGGUUAAACACCCACCUUGUGUCACUUGUCAAGCUCGGUAAACGAGUGCCUGUAAGAGAAAUGUCGGUGAGUUUUUGGAUCGAUUGGCUUUAAGCGCAGGAAAUAUUCAAUGACACAGCAAUCGGUGCCGACCAAGCAUGUUGGUUUGUUUCUCCGUUACUGUAGUGGGAUACCUGGGGCUCGGAGCCGGGAUGGAGGGCGUGAUUUUGGUGGUCCCAGGCGAGGGCUCAGGGCUCCAGGUGGCAAGGGACGGGGGCAUGGGUGUGUCUCUCCUUGGCUUCUCCCCCUUUUGCUCAUGAAACCAGGAUUCGGCUGUGGGGCUCCACCCUGCUGACCACUUCCCAAAGGCCUGCCUCCUGCCCCGCCCUGAGAGGGGCCGGGCCCCGGUGUCCUCUGAGACCCAGAGCGAGUCCCCGGAUGGCUGUGAGGGGGGCAUUCGGGGUCAGUGUGCCCGUGCCAGAGGGGCUGCAGGAUCAGGUGGCAGAUGAGAAACAGGCCGAGAGGCGGAGGACAGAGACGGGAAGGAGCUUCGCACCCGCUUUUGCACAUGAGCCCACCCCCCGUCCUUUUGUACACAAGCC